AGGCUACUGAGUCCCUUGAGAAGUGCAAGGCUAGUGAAGACCUCCUAAAGGCAAUCUGGAGAUUAAACAAACAAACAAAAACAACCUAGGCCCAGUCAUAAUUCAAAAGCUCAGCAUGCCACUCUCUCCACCCCCCAGUGAAGGGCUUUGCAUAGUUAAAGCCAAAAGGCUGGACCCGCUGAAGUGGCCACAGUGCCCCUUCCCUGAUCUAGGAUGUCUUGUCCCUUUCCCUCAGUCACCAGUGUACCAAAAGCAUGCAGUGAGCUUUCAGGCCAAGCUAGGGAAACACCUGAAGGGCAAAGUGGACAUGCUUCAUUACCACUCCUUCUGGGUGGGUAGCCACAACCACUUACUUCCCAACAAUCUUGAAAGGAAAGCAGAGCCUUAUGACAGGGCAGUGAAGCCCCAGGCAGUGGUAGAACCUGGGAAGAACACAGGUGCCUAGUUCUUUCCCCACAUGGCUGCUUUUCAGACCCAAAGUACCAGAGUGGUGAGUUCCCUGGGGUAGGGGAAAGAUGAGUCAAGGCCAUAGGUACUCCAUCUUGGUCCCAAGGGUGGGCGAAAGGGGAAAGCCUGGACUCAAAAAGCCCAAGUUCCCUCCCUGACAUGAUGCAGUGGCACCAAGAGGCGCUCCAAAGACAGCCCCUCCGUCCAAGCGAACUAGGCCACCCAACAUUCCCAUUUCCCGAAAAACCCAGUCUCUGCAAGCCGUGGAGGACAGGUCUUCACAGGCUCAUUUUAGCUUCGGGUUAAGAAUGGAGGCGCAGCGGCGCCAAAGCUGAAAUUCCCCUUCCCUCAGAAAAGUGUGGCGGUGUCACCGCAGUCACCUUCCCCUGAGCUCCCGUGCACGCGCGAGCCCUCCUGGGUCUGACCUGCGGCCGCGGCGUCUCUCGAGCGCUGACUGCUGCUUGGCUCCCGCCGGGCUCGCUGCUGGGCCGGCGACGCGCGCUGAGUCCGGCGCCUUCUCCCUCUCUGCUCGGGGACGGGCAGGGCUGGGGGGUGAAGAGGGGACUGCGCGUCCCAGUUCUAAGGCGGGGCGGGGCGGGGUGGAGUGCCAGGACCCGCCGAGGUGCUCCGAGGAGACCCGGGCGCGCAAGGUGAGACUGCACGGGCUCGCCCAGCUCAGAUAGGGUAGACGUCCGGUCAGUGGCGAAGCCACGUGAACGGAGAAAAGAGCGAGUCGGCUUCUAAAAGGUCUGCUGGGGAUGGGAGAGGGCCGAAGAGGGGACAGGGUGCGAAGGGACAGGGGAGACGCUGCCCAAUCCUCUCCACGCGGGCGGGUAAGACCAAGAGCACCGGUCAACGCCCGCAGAACCAGGCUAGGCGUUCGAGCAAGGCAUCCGUCCUAAGACCUUUUAAGAGUCCGUGGUAACAUCCACCACCCGGAGUUCGUCGUGAGAUCUCGGGGGUCUCACCGCCCUCGAGCCCCGUCCGCGCCCCUCUGGACCCCGGAUUGCAUCGCUAGGUUUGUGCUAGAACUGCCCAGGGUUGUGCGCCAGGGGCGAGGGGAAGGAGGAGUCGGAGGACUGGCUGCGGAGUGGACCGUUCUCGCGCGCCAGUCCCUUUUCCGUCCCAGGCUGGGUGGGGGCGGGCGCAGCGCCGCAGAGACUGGGGUGCGGUCUGAGAAGGUUGAGAAGUACUUGGAGCUGGAGGGGCGGGGCGGGGGCGAGGGCCGGGGAGGGCGGGAAAGCAUCCCGGACCUGGUUUGUCCGGUCAUAGUCUAUUUAAGUGCAGUAGGAGAAGAGUAGGGGUUGCAAGAAAGCCCCGCCAAGAGAAAGGGCGUGCGCUUUUGGUGCCAGGGCGUCCGGACCUGGUUUCUUCUUUAUCCCAUACCUGGGAGCGCUUCGUGUGAGGUUCCACUACGAAGAGGCGAGCGGCGCCGGCUACCAGGCACGCACUGUUUCGAAGAGGCAAAGGUAGGAAACAGCAGUCCGGGUUUAAGUGGCGGGUAUACUGCUGCGGUCUGUGCGGCCCGGGUGGGUGUCGAAGAGGGCCUUGAAGUGCUGUCCCCGCCCCGGCCCCUAGAGGCGCACUUCCCACAUCCGCCCAGGUUCAGAUCAAGUGGGAAUUCGAAGUAUUGUGAGAAACUAAGAGGCAAAGAACAAACAAAACAACAAGAAACUUACUAAGGCCACGAGGUUUACAGAUGUAGAAUCCUUACCUCGGCUUAACUGGGGUCUAGGUAAUUCGGCUGGCAAGAUUCAGCACCCCUAGGCUCCUUAAUCACCUCAGCCCUUGUUAAGGAUUCCUGCCCCAAACCACUUUUCAGAUCUUGUUCUAUUUCUCCACUUAACGGCCUUCUUUGGUGCAAAAGCACACGUACACGUGCCCACACACCUUCCUGAAGAAAAGAGACUGGGACAGGAAUUCUGGACAGGGUCCUUUUAGCCAUCCAGAGCUGUGAACUUUGAGUGGGGUCCACCCCAAACAGAGAAAUAAACCAUCACAUUCUAGCAACUAGUAUCACUAGUCAGAGUUCUUGACAACUCCAGGCAAGUCACCCACACUCCCUUUGUAGAGAAUUGGUCAUCUUUACCGGUUCCAGAAGAAGCAGGAGGCAAUCAGAGAAAGACUUCAGGAAGAAAUCCCUGAGAGGCCACAGAACAUUAAGAAUGUACAGAAGAACGUUGAAGCUCCAGACUUGCACUAGGCUGUAUUUCCUUGAAGACUGUAGCUUUAUUUCUUGGCCACCCCUAAUACACACAAAAAGGAACCCCACUCUAUCCUGUGGUAGGUAGGAAUGGGUAAUCUUUAUCUGAAUUGCAACUGAGCAUG
ensembl:lncRNA